rnacentral:misc_RNA from 1 species
GUCAAAUAAGGUUUAUUGGAGAUGCCAACAAGUAAAGGAGGCUUAGGCAAGGUCCAUGGUAGCCGCCAUGCGCAAAAAUGAUACUGGAGUUGUAUGAAUCGAAGGCUGCAACUUUGGUUUCUUUAGAUUUUUUUUUAUCUACUUUCUGUUUCAAAAUUGACCAAAAUCAACAGUAAUGAUGGUUUCUCCAGUGGCUACUAGUGCCGGGAAGCUUUUCUUGAGCUCCGCCGGGUUAAAAGCUAAAGACAACAAUAGGGAAGCUUUAUAGUUGUGCCUCCUUCUUAUUACCUCAACCUCUCUUACACUAUGGGUUUUGUAGGUUCUGGUCUCUUGAAAUUAAAUUGUGAU